AACCUCCCGCCCCCCCCCGUUGUGCCGUCUGUUGAGUCCGCCGAGAAAGCUCCGGUUGCCGACGCCACCACCCCUGCCGUAAAGAAGUUCAAGAGCGGUCAGCUGAAAUUAAAAGAUCUGAAAGCUGUGUUCCAACAAAUAUCUGACCAUGAUGCUGCUGCCGCCGGCGAAGAUCCUUGCGAACGUGAUAUAUAUGCACCCGUGCAUUUUUAUGGCUUCAAAUAAGGUAGAAGCUGAUACGUUAAACUUCUCCCUAGCUUCUUUCAUCGUGCCUCGCGGUGGCUUGCCGUUUAUGCAUCUCUCAUUGAUGAACUGCACAAUUUGUUGCUGAAGCUUUGUACAUAUACUUGUGGCAGAUCGCUGCAUUCUGGAUCUUUUGUGUUGUGUGAAUGUAAAGUAGGUGUAAGAAUAUUUAUGGCACACUGGAGUAUUUAUGUUAGUCUAUGGCGCCACUUGUAGUGAUUUCACUGAAAAUUUGAAAAAAUUGAACAGGUAGCAUAUGUGGCAGAAGUGGCGCCACUUUUUUUAACUUGAAAAUGUCAUCAGGCGCUAAAUGUGAAUUAAAGUGAAUCAAAAUUUCAAUUUUGUUUU